UACGAAGGGGGCUAGCGUUGCUCGGAAUUACUGGGCGUAAAGCGCACGUAGGCGGACUCUUAAGUCGGUGGUGAAAUCCUGGAGCUCAACUCCAGAACUGCCUUCGAUACUGAGAGUCUUGAGUUCGGGAGAGGUGAGUGGAACUGCGAGUGUAGAGGUGAAAUUCGUAGAUAUUGGGAAGAACACCAGUGGCGAAGGCGGCUUUCUGGGCCUUACCUGACGCUGAGACGCGAAAGCGUGGGGAGCGAACCGG
rnacentral:rRNA from 1 species